rnacentral:rRNA from 1 species
CUGGCUCAGGAUGAACGCUGGCGGCGUGCCUAAUACAUGCAAGUCGAGCGAGAAUCAGUGAUGCAGAGAUCGUCAAAGCGGAUCUGAGGAAAGCGGCGGACGGGUGAGUAACGCGUAGGCAACCUGCCCUUAGCAGAGGGAUAGCCAUUGGAAACGAUGAUUAAAACCUCAUAAUGCUGUUUUUACACAUGUAGAGACAGCCAAAGAUUUAUCGGCUAAGGAUGGGCCUGCGUCUGAUUAACUAGUUGGUGGGGUAACGGCUCACCAAGGUGACGAUCAGUAGCCGACCUGAGAGGGUGAUCGGCCACAUUGGAACUGAGACACGGUCCAAACUUCUACGGAAGGCAGCAGUAAGGAAUCUUGCACAAUGGGGGAAACCCUGAUGCAGCAACGCCGCGUGAACGAUGAAGGCCUUAGGGUUGUAAAGUUCUGAUCUGUGGGAAGAAGAAGUGACGGUACCACAGGAGAAAGCCCCGGCUAAAUACGUGCCAGCCGCGGC